rnacentral:rRNA from 1 species
UACGAAGGGGGCUAGCGUUGCUCGGAAUCACUGGGCGUAAAGGGUGCGUAGGCGGGGCUUUAAGUCAGGGGUGAAAUCCUGGAGCUCGACUCCAGAACUGCCUUUGAUACUGAAGAUCUUGAGUUCGGGAGAGGUGAGUGGAACUGCGAGUGUAGAGGUGAAAUUCGUAGAUAUUCGCAAGAACACCAGUGGCGAAGGCGGCUCACUGGCCCGAUACUGACGCUGAGGCACGAAAGCGUGGGGAGCAAACAGG